GACGAACGCUGGCGUCAUGCCUAACACAUGCAAGUCGAGCGAGUGGAGUUCUUCGGAACAAAGCUAGCGGCGGACGGGUGAGUAACACGUGGGCAACCUGCCUCAUAGAGGGGAAUAGCCUUCCGAAAGGGAGAUUAAUACCGCAUAAGAUUGUAGCUUCGCAUGAAGUAGCAAUUAAAGGAGCAAUCCGCUAUGAGAUGGGCCCGCGGCGCAUUAGCUAGUUGGUGAGGUAACGGCUCACCAAGGCGACGAUGCGUAGCCGACCUGAGAGGGUGAUCGGCCACAUUGGGACUGGGACACGGCCCAGACUCCUACGGGAGGCAGCAGUGGGGAAUAUUGCACAAUGGGGGAAACCCUGAUGCAGCAAUGCCGCGUGAGUGAUGACGGCCUUCGGGUUGUAAAGCUCUGUCUUCAGGGACGAUAAUGACGGUACCUGAGGAGGAAGCCACGGCUAACUAC
rnacentral:rRNA from 1 species